UUGAUUCUUUAUGGCUAUCCGAACAUUUCAGAUCCUCUUGGAUGUGAAAUAAGUGGGAUGCAUCAGUUUUUUUCCUUUUGAUUUUCUGAUUGUGAAGAAUCUGUUCUAGAACAUCGCAGAACACAUUGGGAUUCCGUUCUUCUACAGCCGAUUUGUUAUUUGAUUACUUGUAAUCUUUUUAAACCAAUUCGUAUUUUUGUGGGAGGAUCAGUUUUGUUACUUUCAAGCCCUGUUGUCGAUAAAUCUGGGAUCCAGCAAAAAAAAAGGAUUUUUGGGUGCUUGUGUUAUUCAAGGUAGUUGAUUAAGUAGUUAUAAAUACAAUCUUGUUCAAGUUUGAUAAUCUGUUCUAGAACAUCGCAGAACACAUUGGGAUUCCGUUCUUCUAUAGCCGAUUUGUUAUUUGAUUACUUGUAAUCUUUUUAAACCAAUUCGUAUUUUUGUGGGAGGAUCAGUUUUGUUACUUUCAAGCCCUGUUGUCGAUAAAUCUGGG
rnacentral:lncRNA from 1 species